CGGAAAUAUUCCUUGCUGCUCGUGUCCAGAACGUUUCUGUUGAGGGUUGUCCUUCCCACGCCAGGUUCCAGGAAUCAGCUCAUCCCAGAGGAAAAGGCGGCUCCGUGCUACGGUGACCUCCUGCACGUUUCCACCAAGAGCUAUCCCAGAGACCUCCUGGAAAUGCUGACUGCAACCCCCGGCUCGGUGGAAGAAGCCUCUCUCCGCAGACGUUUCUCUGCCGCUCGUCAGGUGCUUCUGUCCCACAGGGCCAUGAACCCCGAGUGCGAGGCGCCGCUGCAGCAGCUGCCCCGGCCGGUGCCACCUCUGUCCUCGGGGGCCAACAGGGCCACCGCGGGGAGCAGGUGAGAGGGAGGGGCAUCAAACCAUCCUCAUCAUCAUCAUCAUCAUCAUCAC
rnacentral:lncRNA from 1 species